GAUGAACGCUGGCGGCGUGCCUAAUACAUGCAAGUCGAGCGAACAGACGAGGAGCUUGCUCCUCUGACGUUAGCGGCGGACGGGUGAGUAACACGUGGAUAACCUACCUAUAAGACUGGGAUAACUCGGGAAACCGGAGCUAAUACCGGAUAAUAUAUUGAACCGCAUGGUUCAAUAGUGAAAGACGGUUUUGCUGUCACUUAUAGAUGGAUCCGCGCCGCAUUAGCUAGUUGGUAAGGUAACGGCUUACCAAGGCAACGAUGCGUAGCCGACCUGAGAGGGUGAUCGGCCACACUGGAACUGAGACACGGUCCAGACUCCUACGGGAGGCAGCAGUAGGGAAUCUUCCGCAAUGGGCGAAAGCCUGACGGAGCAACGCCGCGUGAGUGAUGAAGGUCUUCGGAUCGUAAAACUCUGUUAUUAGGGAAGAACAAAUGUGUAAGUAACUAUGCACGUCUUGACGGUACCUAAUCAGAAAGCCACGGCUAACUACGUG
rnacentral:rRNA from 1 species